AUGCUCACUUUGGCAGUACAUAUACUAAAAUGGGAACAAUGCAGAGAAGAUUACCAUAGCCUCUUCGCAAGGAUGAUAUGCAAAUUCGUGGUUUUCCAUAAGAAAAA